rnacentral:rRNA from 1 species
GGAUGCGAUCAUACCAGCACUAAAGCACCGGAUCCCAUCAGAACUCCGAAGUUAAGCAUGCUUCGACGAGAGUAGUACUAGGAUGGGUGACCUCCUGGGAAGUCCUCGUGUUGCAUUCC